CGGGGGCCGGGCAGCGGCGAGGCCGGGGACCGGGUCGGGGCAGCGGGAGCGGCCCGGGAGGAGGACCCGGUGGUAAAUGGACCAACUGGAAUGGAGUCUUUGUGAGGGCUGGCUCAUUGACCAAUGCAGUGCCUAGCAGCUCCUACACAGGAAGAGGCAAAGAUGAGUGGGGGAGGGGAACAGGUCGACAUCUUGCCCGUGGCCUUUGUUGUCAAAGAGCGCUGGAAAGUGCUGAAGAAGAUUGGUGGAGGUGGAUUUGGGGAGAUUUAUGAGGCGACAGACUUGUUAAUCCGUGAGAAUGUUGCUCUGAAAGUGGAGUCUGCCCAGCAACCCAAACAGGUACUCAAGAUGGAGGUGGCAGUCCUGAAAAAACUCCA